UACAUUUUGUUUUCACAGACUAACUUUGCCUCUUAAUGGGGUCGUGACCUCCUCUUUGCUCGGAGCUGUCUGCAAGUCAUUCAAGCAAUUAGGUAAACUCCAUGUUGCUGUCCAUAGAGGGCCGCUGCUCUGGAGUCGAAAAACUGUGCGGGAGAGACAAACUUUGAGAAAAGACGGGUGCACAAUCCCAAGCUUGCGGAAGCACGCCGUCAAUUUGCAGGCGCUACGAACCGGAGCAAGGACUAAUCUCGCCUCAUAAUGAGGCGGUGACCUCCUAUUUGCUCGGAGCAAUAUCUGCAAGUCCACACAAUGUUGAUAAAGACGACAUUGUGUCCGCCUGUAAGACAUACGAGACGGUACGCAGGAGCUUUAGGUAUACCCAGCCAGAAAACUCAUUGCGGGCGGAAGCUGCGAAGAGUUCAGCUCAGAGUCGAGCGAGAAGAAAGAGGCUGCUGGAAUCGAGACAGAGUGUGCUAGCAGAUGACGAGGUGGAACUCUGGAAGUCCGCCACCGUAGACCUCAUGUCUGACGAAGAAGAUGGCGUUGUUGGCGGGGUCUCUGGAUGGGUUGUAUGGUCGCCGUCAUUUCGUAGGCCGGAGCUCUCUGUGCGAAGCUGCAGUCCCGGUUAGAGGCAACGCCGAAGUACAGAGCCACGCACAAUAGGCGUCUGCACAACGGACCUGCCUCGGAAAGAACGCCGCCAGUUACCUACAACCCCGAGGAGGCAAACGGACAGUUCACGGAGUUGUAGUUUUUGGAUCAUCCUCUACCCAUGUGUGGGCAGA